UGGGGAUAUUGGCACAAUGGAGGAAACUCUGAUGCAGCAACGCCGCGUGAGGGAAGAAGGUCUUCGGAUUGUAAACCUUAGUAGUCAGGGACGAAAGGAAAUGACGGUACCUGAAGAGUAAGCUCCGGCUAACUACGUGCCAGCAGCCGCGGUAAUACGUAGGGAGCGAGCGUUGUCCGGAUUUACUGGGUGUAAAGGGUGCGUAGGCGGGACUGCAAGUCAGACGUGAAAUACCGAGGCUUAACUUCGGGGCUGCGUUUGAAACUGUGGUUCUUGAGAAGUAGAGGCAGGCGGAAUUCCUAGUGUAGCGGUGAAAUGCGUAGAUAUUAGGAGGAACACCAGUGGCGAAGGCGGCCCUGCUGGGCUUUAACUGACGCUGAAGCACGAAAAGCAUGGGGGAGCAAAACAGGA
rnacentral:rRNA from 1 species